UCAAUAAUCAUUCCUCACUCCUAUGUUCCCAGUAUAGUUCCCAGUAUAGUUCCCGUUCCCUGCAGGCCUACUGGCCACCAAUGGUAGCCUGGUGCAGACCUGGUAACAUAGGCCUUUCCUCACCAUUUUGAGAGCCACUGUCAUCCAGGAGCAUGAGAAGUGAGGGGGGUGGUGUAGGGCCCACAAAGCAGGGGAAAAGGAAGCAGUAGCCAUUCUAAGGGAAGGACAUUAGGACUAACAUUAGAACCCAGAAUGUUUUUGCAUGUUUAUAAAUACAGUUCAGAAGGGCAAUGAAGCUCCUGACCAAAUUAAAUGAGCAGAUUUUACUUCUUGGGAAAACUGUUCCUCACACCUUAUAGAAACAUUACAGAAGGACAACUGAAGAAAUUGCCAUGAAAACUCAAAUGAAAGAUUAUACAUUAAAUUUGCAUUAAGUUUGCAUGCUAUGCUACAGGUAUCUGUUGAAAGGGUAUACUUUCAAUUUAACUCCAGAGAAUAACCCAAACACUGAAUUGAGAACAAUAUUUUUAUUUUGUGUCUUUCUGAAGGAUUAACUAUUGCUUUUUAUAAAUAUGCAAAGACCUGUAGGAGUAGAAAUGCAAAGCACAGCAUCCACGCCAUUAACAUGCUAAUUCAUUUAGAGGGAAUUGAAAAAGUAGUUCUGACUAUUAUGGUAUUUGCAUCUUCAUGCUACUCUGUUACAGAACCUGUUAAGCAAGCGAUGGACCUGGCAGAGUUAACAACCCUGGAGGGAGCACCAACCUCGCAGAUCAUGGGAUAUCCCACCAGGGCCAGCAUAGGAGUAGCAUAGAUCAAGAGUGGGAUGACAAGUGCUGCAAUCUUCUUUCUACUCGUGAAACACAGCAUUUGAUAAGUGAUCAAAAGUAAGCAGGGCAGAUUUAAACAUUAAACAGAAGCUGGAUGGAGGCAUCUGAGUGCCAUGUUUUAUGUGUGCGCUCUGUUGGGAGAAUGUCUGUUGGACUGGGCAGCUUAGGAGUGCUGUGCUGCACAACGAGGUGUUCGGCUUUUUGUGGCUAAAAGCAGUCCUGCUGGUUUGCUGAAGCAACUAGAGCUGGAACAUGUGCCUUGAUUGCUGUAGCUCCUGCUACAUUCCCACGGGUUGCUUAAUGUGCCUGCCUACAUGGCCUAUAACUGUGCUCUGUCUUUGUGGUAGUCCGAGAGUUGGUAUGGUUCCUGCUCUGCUGUACUUUAACAAAAACUAUCAGAAAAGAAAGCAUUGCUUGCUCUGAAUUCUCUUCAAUUCCGCACAACUCAACUGAAAAUUAGUGCCUUUAAUUAUUUGGGAGAAUGGAUAAUGUGAUUAGAAAGCUGAGGAAAACUUUAUGAUUUGAGAAUUAAAUGUCACAAAGAACCAUACGUAGGUAGUUGAUCUUUUAAACUUUAGCUAUUCUGUGACUUCAAGUAGUUUCAUUGUGUUUUCAGUCUUUAUGCUUGUGUGCUCUUUCAUUAUCAUUGUUCAUGUCACAGAAAACUGAGUCCAACAUAUUUUGAGAGAAAUGGUAGAAAAUAAUGAGCAACUGAAAAAAAACAGGUUAGCAAACCUGAAGAAUUCUCAUGCAUGCCUUUGGAACUAACAAGUGCCUUUUCAAUAAACUAACUGCAAGAUGUAAAGUAAAAAAAAGAGCUUCCAUGUUUCCCAUCAUGAGCCUCAAGAGAAAUGAGCUCUGCAGAAAAAUGUCAUGUUCCAGUAGCAUGUCCAAUAUAUCUCAAAAGGUACAGGAACACAAAAGAAUCUGUAAUAAUAUCUCUGUCUUGACCCAAAGAACUAACUUUAGUACUCGUUACAAGAUAAAUGGAAUUCUGACAGUGUCAAAUAGUUUCAAAACCUGCUAGAAAAGAUAUUGAUGCAUAAAUUGCAUAUUCUAAUUUAAGACGCAGCAGAGAAGAAAAAAAUGUCAAGUGGGACACAAACUGAUACUGUGUUGCAAUUUCUGGAUAAUGUGUAUUGCCUUUUUAUGAAAACCUGACAAAUUCAUUGCACCGAUUACCUGGAAAUAAGAGAAUGUGAGCAGCAGUAAAAGCCAACAUACAAGAAACCACACUACAGAUAAAUUUCAAGAGCUUCAGAGCUUCCCACUCUUCAAAGGCUUUCUGGUAUAAAAAUUUCCAGAAGAAGAACAUGUGUGGAAUAGUAAGGCUCAGCGAAAACCAACUAAAUAAAAAAGAAGGUGACGGACAGGAAUCUAAAAGAAAGAAAUGCUCUGAUCAGGAUGCAGCUUUCUGAAGUGCUCAGAAAUGGAGAGAUGCUUUUGGAACCCAUGCUGGGCUGAAGACCUAGACUGAGAUUCCCAGAUUCUAAUAUAAUUCUGCCAUAGCAAAGUGCUGGCUAAAUAAUUCCUAAGUAGUCAAACACAGUGUCCUGGCUAAUACUGAAAGCUGUUGCUACUGAAGCUUCUGCUUCCUCUACCAGCAGUGGCCACAGUCAUAGUGAGCAAGAGGCAUAUAACAACCACUGAUCUGGAUGAUUUUACUUCAACUAAAGACUGAGGUAAUGUGUUCUUACAUUUCUUAAAUAAAAAUGGGAGGGCCCUGAGGAGCAUGAAUAAUCUAUAGGUAAAUGGGAGCAAUAUAAGGUAGGUGGUGGAAAGAAUAUAAGCAGUGUUAGUUGGGCAAAAAUAGAACAGGAGAUCAUAACCUAGACGUAAAAAUAUUUAUUCUGUUGCAUUUGCUACUCUGUUUACCCAUUCUCAUAAUUAAUGCAGCAAGACUAAAAUACUAAGGAGAAAUACCACAAAGCAAAUAAUGGAAGACAACUGAUAUCUUGGAGAGAAACAUUCAAGACCCAGAAAUACCAAUGUGUUAAGGAAUCUAAAGGAAUAAAAAAAGAUUUUUGAUGCAUUUCUGAUCUUCUUUGCUUAAUAUUAAGACCUAAUGAAAAUAGAGAAGGGCAUGAAGCAGCUAGCAGUGACCAUUUUAAACACUGCUUGUUUAAUCAUACAAACUGUUGAAUUACACAACUCCUACUGUAAUAAAUAGGAACUGUUGCUGUUGA